AGUAAUGCAUGGGAAUCUAGCUUAUGGAGGGGGAUAACUACGGGAAACUGUAGCUAAUACCGCGUAGUAUCGGAAGAUGAAAGUGUGGGACCUUCGGGCCACAUGCCAUAGGAUGAGCCCAAGUGGGAUUAGGUAGUUGGUGAGGUAAAGGCUCACCAAGCCGACGAUCUCUAGCUGGUCUGAGAGGAUGACCAGCCACACUGGGACUGAGACACGGCCCAG
rnacentral:rRNA from 1 species